rnacentral:rRNA from 1 species
AGAGUUUGAUCAUGGCUCAGGACGAGCGCUGGCGGCGUGCCUAAUACAUGCAAGUCGAACGCACUGACGGAGAACUUGUUCUCUUGACGUGAGUGGCGCACGGGUGAGUAACACGUGGGAAACCUACCCUUCAGCGGGGGAUAACCAUCGGAAACGAUGACUAAUACCGCAUAGACGACAGAACCGCCUGGUUCAAUCGGGAAAGACGGCUUCGGCUGUCACUGAAGGAUGGUCCCGCGCUGCAUUAGCUAGUUGGUAAGGUAACGGCUUACCAAGGCGAUGAUGCAUAGCCGACCUGAGAGGGUGAUCGGCCACAUUGGGACUGAGACACGGCCCAAACUCCUACGGGAGGCAGCAGUAGGGAAUCUUCCGCAAUGGACGCAAGUCUGACGGAGCAACGCCGCGUGUGUGAAGAAGGUUUUCGGAUCGUAAAGCACUGUUAUUAGAGAAGAACAGCCGAUAGAGUAACUGUUAUCGGUUUGACGGUAUCUAACCAGAAAGUGACGGCUAACUACGUGCCAGCAGCCGCGGUAAUACGUAGGUCACAAGCGUUGUCCGGAUUUAUUGGGCGUAAAGGGAGCGCAGGCGGUUUGUUAAGUCUGAUGUGAAAGCCCACGGCUCAACCGUGGAACGGCAUUGGGAACUGGCAAACUUGAGUAUAGAAGAGGAAAGUGGAAUUCCAUGUGUAGCGGUGAAAUGCGUAGAUAUAUGGAGGAACACCAGUGGCGAAGGCGACUUUCUGGUCUAUAACUGACGCUGAGGCUCGAAAGCGUGGGGAGCGAACAGGAUUAGAUACCCUGGUAGUCC